UUAGAAUUUUAAGAGCAAAAAG
rnacentral:miRNA from 1 species